rnacentral:tRNA from 1 species
UCCCUGAUAGCUCAGUUGGUAAAGAAUCUGCCUGCAAUGCAGGAGACCUAGGUUCGAUUCCUGGGUUGGGAA